rnacentral:pre_miRNA from 1 species
CUACUACUCCCUCUGUCCCAAAUUUCUUGUCUUAGAUUUGUCUAGAUAUGGAUGUAUCUAAUACUAAAAUGUGACUUGAUACAUCCGUAUCUAGACAAAUCUAAGACAAGAAUUUUGGGACGGAGGGAGUACUUU